rnacentral:rRNA from 1 species
UACGAAGGGGGCGAGCGUUGUUCGGAUUUACUGGGCGUAAAGGGCGCGUAGGCGGCCUUGUCAGUCAGGCGUGAAAGCCCCGGGCUCAACCUGGGAACGGCGCUUGGGACGGCGAGGCUGGAGUUCGGGAGAGGAGAGUGGAAUUCCCAGUGUAGAGGUGAAAUUCGUAGAUAUUGGGAAGAACACCGGUGGCGGAGGCGGCUCUCUGGACCGACACUGACGCUGAGGCGCGAAAGCGUGGGGAGCAAACAGG